rnacentral:rRNA from 1 species
UACGGAGGGUGCAAGCGUUAUCCGGAUUCACUGGGUUUAAAGGGUGCGUAGGUGGGUUAGUAAGUCAGUGGUGAAAUCUCCGUGCUUAACAUGGAAACUGCCAUUGAUACUACUAGUCUUGAAUCUUCCGGAGGUCAGCGGAAUAUGUCAUGUAGCGGUGAAAUGCUUAGAUAUGACAUAGAACACCAAUUGCGAAGGCAGCUGACUACAGGGGCAUUGACACUGAGGCACGAAAGCGUGGGGAUCAAACAGG